GACAGAGGGUGCAAACGUUGUUCGGAAUUACUGGGCGUAAAGCGCGUGUAGGCGGCCAUCUAAGUCGGGCGUGAAAUCCCACGGCUCAACCGUGGAAGUGCACUCGAAACUGGAUGGCUAGAGUCCUGGAGAGGAAGGUGGAAUGCUUGGUGUAGAGGUGAAAUUCGUGAGAUAUCAAAGCGGAACACCGGUGGCGAAGGGCGGCCUUACUGGACAGUGACUGACGCUGAGACGACGAAAGCGGUGGGGAGCAAACAGGGAUUAAGAAACCCGGGUGAGUCCCAGAACCGAAG
rnacentral:rRNA from 1 species